UACAGAGGGGGCAAGCGUUAUUCGGAAUUAUUGGGCGUAAAGGGCGCGUAGGCGGCUUGGCAAGUGGAUGGUGAAAUCCCUCGGCUUAACCGAGGAACUGCCGUCCAAACUGCUUCGCUUGAGCCCGGGAGAGGUGAGUGGAAUUCCCAGUGUAGCGGUGAAAUGCGUAGAUAUUGGGAGGAACACCAGUGGCGAAGGCGGCUCACUGGAGCGGUACUGACGCUGAGGUGCGAAAGCGUGGGGAGCAAACAGG
rnacentral:rRNA from 1 species